rnacentral:piRNA from 1 species
UUCUAUUCCUGGAGCUGAUGUUUUAAUGCC